UACGGGGGGGGCAAGCGUUGUUCGGAAUUACUGGGCGUAAAGGGCUCGUAGGUGGCCAACUAAGUCAGACGUGAAAUCCCUCGGCUUAACCGGGGAACUGCGUCUGAUACUGGAUGGCUUGAGUUCGGGAGAGGGAUGCGGAAUUCCAGGUGUAGCGGUGAAAUGCGCAGAUAUCGGGAAGAACACCCGUGGCUAAGGCGGCUCUCUAGUACGGUACUGACGCUGAGACGCGAAAGCGUGGGGAGCGAACAGG
rnacentral:rRNA from 1 species